GCCUCGCUAAACGAUGCACACCUGUAACUCACGUGACCCUGAUUAUUAUUGAAACGAGAACGAGGGCGUCGUGCCUUUAUAAGACUGCGUUAAUGUUUCCGUGGAGUUAUCCCUUCCGGCGUUGUUGUUUAUUGAUUGUUAAACAUGGCUUCAUUUGCAAAGGUGUGUGUGUCCUCAUUGCGUGUGUCUGUAAUGCAUUCUGUUUUCCGAAGAGAGAUGUGAACUUUAAGGCCUCUGCAGUUGACCGCCAAAGUGAUGAUGUGGUUGUCACCACAACACCCGUUCCCCACAACCAGACCACAUCUGCCCAUACUGAAGCUGGUGAUGGAGCAAGUGAAGAUGAUGAUGAUGCAGCAAGUGAAGAUGCUGUGGCUACCACCCCAACACCAAAUCCCCCAACUACAUCUGACCACACUGCAGCUACCGGUGAUGCAAGUGAGGGUGCUGUGGCUGCCCAAACUGGAACUACUGUAUCCCAUACGACUGAAGUCUGAUUCGACUGCUCCUCUGGUCACAAUGACCUGAGUCACUGUCUGGACUUUUUGCCUCUACAUGUUGACUGCAAUAAAGGACAGAUUUGUUUUUUGAAUCAAAUGUUGUCUUGCCUUUUUCAAAUUGAGGCCUUGUCCUGUUUUGGUGGUGGAGAUGACUAUGAAGCCUCUUUCCUAACGUAUUUCCGGUAGUGGUUUUACUAUAUGCUUCAUGCAACAAGGCCUUUAACGACUCUACAAUUUAAAAGCAUCUAGUUGUGUCAAUUAGUAAAAUGGUUGAACUGGUAGUGAUGCACUAUAAUGGUGAACUGCUUGUGGCAUUUCAAAAAUCU
ensembl:lncRNA